GGGUUAGUAGAUUGGUCGUGCCACUGGUAUGUACUGGUCUUACUGAUUCCUCCUUCCUGAUGAACCGUAAUGCCAUUAAUUUGGUGUUGCGGGGAGACUGGACUGUUACUUUAGAAAAAAUUAGAGUGUUUAAAGCAGGCUAACGCUUGAAUACAUUAGCAUGGAAUAAUGAAAUAGGACGUUCGAUCCUAUUUUGUUGGUUUCUAGGAUUGACGUAAUG
rnacentral:rRNA from 1 species